AGAAUCAACGCUGGCGGCGUGCCUAACACAUGCAAGUCGAACGAGAAAGUGGUAGCAAUACCAUGAGUACAGUGGCGCACGGGUGAGUAACACGUGACUAACCUACCCUGGAGUGGGGGAUAACUGAGGGAAACCUUAGCUAAUACCGCAUAAUACCUACGGGUCAAAGGAGCAAUUCGCUUCAGGAGGGGGUCGCGGCCGAUUAGUUAGUUGGCGGGGUAAUGGCCCACCAAGACAGUGAUCGGUAUCCGGCCUGAGAGGGCGCACGGACACACUGGAACUGAAACACGGUCCAGACUCCUACGGGAGGCAGCAGUGGGGAAUUUUGCGCAAUGGGGGAAACCCUGACGCAGCAACGCCGCGUGGAGGAUGAAGUCCUUCGGGACGUAAACUCCUUUCGAUCGGGACGAUAAUGACGGUACCGGAAGAAGAAGCCCGGCUAACUUCGCGCCAGCAGCCGC
rnacentral:rRNA from 1 species